UACGUAGGGGGCAAGCGUUAUCCGGAAUUACUGGGUGUAAAGGGAGCGUAGGCGGUAGAGUAAGUUAGAUGUGAAAGCCCAAGGCUCAACCUUGGGACUGCAUUUAAAACUGCUUUACUAGAGUACAGGAGAGGAAAGUGGAAUUCCUAGUGUAGCGGUGAAAUGCGUAGAUAUUAGGAGGAACACCAGUGGCGAAGGCGACUUUCUGGACUGUAACUGACGCUGAGGCUCGAAAGCGUGGGGAGCGAACAGGAUUAGAUACCCCCGUAGUCC
rnacentral:rRNA from 1 species